UCCCGGAACGGUUCCAGUAAUCGGAGAUACGGCCACUCAGAUAAAACCCGCCCCAGCCGUCCGGCAGGUUCUGGUUCACGGUGAAGGUCAUGCCGUUUUUCUGCCGCCACAGGGUGUAGUUGCUGCGGCUGUUUUUUUCCUGAUCGACGGCAUACAGCGCGUCGUUGAGGUUGUAAUAACCUUUCGUCGAGUAGCGAUACGCCGCCAGCACGAUGCUGGUCUGGGUAUCGGUAAACAUGCGGUUAAAGGUGGCGCGAUAGCUCUGCCCCGAAUCAUCAUGGGUAUCACUCUUCAGCCGCGAAUGGGUCACGUCAAAGGAGAGCGCGCCGAUGCCGGUGUUCAUCCCGGUCCCCACCAGGAAGGCCUGAUAGUCGUCGAAACCCGUGACCCCGGUAUAGCCGGUCAGCAGGUUGUUGAUACCAUGCUGCCAGGUGGCCUGAUAGAGCAUCGGCUUGUUACGCAGAGAACUGUCGUCCACUUUACCGGCGGAGAGCGCGUAGCGGGUCAUUCCCGGGCGCAACAGCUGGGCGACGGAAGCGUAAGGCACGCUAAACACUUCCACCGAGCCAUCCGCCUCUUUCACCGAGACCUCAAGGUCGCUGCCAUAGCCGGAAGGAUAGACCACACAGUAGGAUAAGCUAAGCACACUGUUGGUUAUGUGUGCCCAAGCAUUGAGGCAGUCAAAGUAGGCAAAUCCGCUUUGAUAAUGCUGGGAUGUGAUGGGGAGCGAAAUUUAGUAGCGAAGUAGCUGAUUUCACACUGUCAAGAAAAGUCUCUAUCGAGGUUAAAGGUACCCGUACCGCAAACCGACACAGGUGGGUGAGGAGAGUAUCCUAAGGCCAGCGAGAGAACUGUUGUUAAGGAACUCGGCAAAAUGACCCCGUAACUUCGGGAGAAGGGGUGCUGACUUCGGUCAGCCGCAGUGAAUAGGCCCAAGCGACUGUUUAUCAAAAACACAGGUCUCUGCAAAAUCGUAAGAUGAAGUAUAGGGGCUGACGCCUGCCCGGUGCUGGAAGGUUAAGGGGAUCUGUUAGAGCAAUCGAAGCAGUGAACUUAAGCCCCAGUAAACGGCGGCCGUAACUAUAACGGUCCUAAGGUAGCGAAAUUCCUUGUCGGGUAAGUUCCGACCCGCACGAAAGGUGUAACGACUUGCGCACUGUCUCAACGAGGGACCCGGUGAAAUUGAAGUACCUGUGAAGAUGCAGGUUACCCGCGACUGGACAGAAAGACCCCAUGGAGCUUUACUGCAACCUAAGAUUGAACUUAGUUAAUGAAUGUACAGGAUAGGUGGGAGACUUAGAACCUAGGACGCCAGUUUUAGGGGAGUCGCUGUUGGGAUACCACCCUUUCAUUAAUUGAUUUCUAACGGGCCGAGUAACGACCGGCCGGACAGUCUUAGGCGGGCAGUUUGACUGGGGCGGUCGCCUCCAAAAGAGUAACGGAGGCGCCCAAAGGUUCCCUCAGAGCGGACGGAAAUCGCUCGAAGAGUGUAAAGGCAGAAGGGAGCUUGACUGCGAGACGGACAGGUCGAGCAGGGACGAAAGUCGGGCUUAGUGAUCCGGUGGUGCCGAGUGGAAGGGCCAUCGCUCAACGGAUAAAAGCUACCCUGGGGAUAACAGGCUAAUCUCUCCCAAGAGUCCAUAUCGACGGGGAGGUUUGGCACCUCGAUGUCGGCUCAUCACAUCCUGGGGCUGAAGUAGGUCCCAAGG
rnacentral:rRNA from 1 species